CGCUCUUUGUGAAAACAAAAUAAAGAGUCGGACCUGCCCAGUGACAUACGUGUUAAACGGCCGCGGUACUCUGACCGUGCAAAGGUAGCAUAAUCACUUGCCUUUUAAUUGAAGGCUUGUAUGAAUGGUUUAACGAGAACUAAGCUGUCUCCUUUUAAAUAUUUAGAAGUUAACUUGUAGGUGAAGAGGUUUACAUGUGUUUGAGGGACAAGAAGACCCUUUUGAGUUUUAGUAAAAUCGAAAAGUAGAUUCUAUUUUAAUUUGGGUUAAGAUAAAUAGCUGUGUAAUAACAUAAGCUGAUUUUUUGGCUAAUCUUUAGUUGGGGCGACUGAGGAAUAUAUUAAGCUUCCUUUAAAGUAUAUUAUGAUUAACUAAUUAAGUUUGAUCCAGUGUUUGCUGAUUAAAGGAAAAAAUUACCAUAGGGAUAACAGCGUAAUCUUUUUGGAGAGUUCUUAUCGAAAAAAGGGUUUGCGACCUCGAUGUUGGACUAAGAUAUCCUAGGGGUGUAGAAGCUCCUAAAGGUUGGUCUGUUCGACCAUUAAAAUCUU
rnacentral:rRNA from 1 species